UUCAAGAAUUUAUUUUUUGACAAUUUCAUUUCAUUUUUCAUUUCAAAUAAAAAAUUAAAUGAAAUUAUUUUGUUAUUGUUUGUGAUUUUUGGAAAGAAGAGUUGGACAAGUGAGAUAAGAGUAGGUUUUACAGACACAAUGAAUGAGUUAGUCAAUAAAAUUGAUAACAAUGGAAAUGUUUGUCAAGUAUGGUCCUGUUUCCUAAAGUUGCUGCGAAAAAAGUCUAAACACUUCAACCGUUAUGAUUUUAAUAAACAAACAUAUCAUCGCAUGAUUUCAAAUCAUUAUUAUAUCUUAAAACAUGUUUCUUAGGGUAAAAUAAUCAUCGCAGAAAAAUGAAUAAAAAGUAAGUAUACGCCCGAGUGAAUCAAAUCAAAUAGAAAACUGCUUAACUGUGUAACUGCUCUUCGUUAUGAUUUUUUUCUAGGUUUAAAAUGCACUUUUCACUUAAUUAUCUAUUUAAAGAAGAGCCUGUGACACAUUUUUUUGGGUCUCCCUAUUCCGUCCGUGCGUCUGUGCGUCCAUCUGUACACAUUUCCACAACCUGAUAUAAUUUCCUGAUUUAUAUGUAUUAUAUGACAUUGAAAACUUUCACAGAUGGAGUUGUUAGUUGUUAUAAAAAGUCCUUUUUUAGUACUUAUUUGGACACAAACCUAGCAUAAUUAUAAUGGCUAAGAAAAUGUUUUAAUAAAUAGAAAUUUAUGUGACGUCGCAUAGAGGCUACGUAAAACUUUAUGCAUUGUAUAACUAUGCAGCCGUUUAGAGUUGUUUAGCGAAAUCUAAUAAAUAUGGCUGUCAGUG